rnacentral:rRNA from 1 species
UACGUAGGUGGCAAGCGUUGUCCGGAUUUACUGGGCGUAAAGGGCGUGCAGGCGGUCUGUUAAGUGUAGGGUGAAAGCUCCCGGCUCAACUGGGAGAGGUCCUUGCAUACUGGCGGACUUGAGGGGGGUAGAGGAAAGUGGAAUUCCCGGUGUAGUGGUGAUAUGCGUAGAUAUCGGGAGGAACACCUGUGGCGAAGGCGGCUUUCUGGGCCCUACCUGACGCUGAGACGCGAAAGCGUGGGGAGCGAACCGG